UACGGAGGGGGCUAGCGUUGUUCGGAAUUACUGGGCGUAAAGCGCACGUAGGCGGCUUUGCAAGUUAGAGGUGAAAGCCCGGGGCUCAACUCCGGAAUUGCCUUUAAAACUGCAUCGCUAGAAUUGUGGAGAGGUAAGUGGAAUUCCGAGUGUAGAGGUGAAAUUCGUAGAUAUUCGGAAGAACACCAGUGGCGAAGGCGACUUACUGGACACAUAUUGACGCUGAGGUGCGAAAGCGUGGGGAGCAAACAGG
rnacentral:rRNA from 1 species